UAAAAGUAAGGGCAAAUUUCAAAUACCACCCAUUUGGUUUUGCGCUUUUUUAUUUUAGUACCAUGUGGUUUAAAGUAUAACAAUUUAACACUUUAUGAUUUUAUUUUUUCUCUUUUUGUUAGCUCCUUCGUUAACAAUUCGUUAAAUUAUAUACAAAAAAUCUCAGAUAUCCAACUAAAUUUAUCGAAUAUUCACUUUGGUACAUUUUAGUUUUAAUUUAGUCACUGAUUUAACGAAAAAAAAUUAGUAGAGGAAAUAAUAAAAAGAGAAAACUGAAACCAUGAGGUACGUACUAAACUGAUCACUUUAAACCGCAUAGUACCAAAGUGAAAAAGUGCGAAACUAUAGGAAUGAUAUUUAAAAUUUUUUCUAAAAAUAAAUA
rnacentral:lncRNA from 1 species